GAUGAACGCUGACAGAAUGCUUAACACGUGCAAGUCAACUUGAACUUCGGUUUGGGUGGCGGACGGGUGAGUAACGCGUAAAGAACUUGCCUCACAGCUAGGGACAACAUUUGGAAACGAAUGCUAAUACCUGAUAUUAUGAUUUUAGGGCAUCCUAGAAUUAUGAAAGCUAUAUGCGCUGUGAGAGAGCUUUGCGUCCCAUUAGCUAGUUGGAGAGGUAACGGCUCACCAAGGCGAUGAUGGGUAGCCGGCCUGAGAGGGUGAACGGCCACAAGGGGACUGAGACACGGCCCUUACUCCUACGGGAGGCAGCAGUGGGGAAUAUUGGACAAUGGACCAAGAGUCUGAUCCAGCAAUUCUGUGUGCACGAUGAAGUUUUUCGGAAUGUAAAGUGCUUUCAGUUGGGAAGAAAAAAAUGACGGUACCAACAGAAGAAGUGACGGCUAAAUACGUG
rnacentral:rRNA from 1 species